UACGUAGGGUGCGAGCGUUGUCCGGAAUUAUUGGGCGUAAAGGGCUCGUAGGCGGUUUGUCGCGUCGGGAGUGAAAACCCAGGGCUUAACCCUGGGCUGGCUUCCGAUACGGGCAGACUAGAGGUAUGCAGGGGAGAACGGAAUUCCUGGUGUAGCGGUGAAAUGCGCAGAUAUCAGGAGGAACACCGGGUGGCGAAGGCGGUUCUCUGGGCAUUACCUGACGCUGAGGAGCGAAAGUGUGGGGAGCGAACAGG
rnacentral:rRNA from 1 species